GCAGACUUUCAGGGUUUCAAGAGACUGAGAUUGGCUUGAAAUGAUGUGCAGAGAGGGAUUAGCGGGAAUGGGCCUGCAGGCCUGGCAGGUCUGAAAGAGGAUCUGAAGAAACAGUGACAAGGAAGAAAACCAACUUCUACUUUGCACUGACCAUGUGACAGUGAAGACAGCCUCUUCCAGAUCAAUGAGCAUCCCCUCAGGCCUA
rnacentral:lncRNA from 1 species